rnacentral:rRNA from 1 species
AUUGAACGCUGGCGGCAUGCCUUACACAUGCAAGUCGAACGGUAACAGGUCUUCGGAUGCUGACGAGUGGCGAACGGGGGAGUAAUACAUCGGAACGUGCCCGAUCGUGGGGGAUAACGAGGCGAAAGCUUUGCUAAUACCUCAUACGAUCUACGGAUGAAAGCGGGGGAUCUUCGGACCUCGCGCGGACGGAGCGGCCGAUGGCAGAUUAGGUAGUUGGGGGGAUAAAAGCUUACCAAGCCGACGAUCUGUAGCUGGUCUGAGAGGAUGAUCAGCCACACUGGGACUGAGACACGGCCCAGACUCCUACGGGAGGCAGCAGUGGGGAAUUUUGGACAAUGGGCGAAAGCCUGAUCCAGCCAUGCCGCGUGAAGGAUGAAGGCCUUCGGGUUGUAAACUGCUUUUGUACGGAACGAAAAGCCUCUUUCUAAUAAAGAGGGGUCAUGACGGUACCGUAAGAAUAAGCACCGGCUAACUACGUG